CAUAGCUUUUUGUAUUUAUAUAAAGUGUCGUCUGCCCGGUGACUUUAUAGUUUAACGGCCGCGGUUUCGUGCUAAGGUAGCAUAAUAAUUUGUCUUUUCAUUGAAGACUAGAAUGAAGGGCAUAACGAAGUCUAGCUGUCUCAUGUUGCUGUCUAGAAAUUGAUUUUCAGGUGAAAAAUCCUGGUUUAAUAGCAUAGGACGAGAAGACCCUAUAGAGUUUUAUAAUACUUUUAUUAUCAGUAAUAUGUUAUUAUAUAAAUAUUGAUAGUUUAAGGUUAUUUUAUUGGGGCAAUAGAGGAACAACUAAAAUUCCUCCUAUACUGUUUUAAGAUAUUAAAAAAUUAUAUCCUCAAAGAGAAUUAAUAGAAACUACCUUAGGGAUAACAGCGUAAUCUUUCCAGAGAGGUCUAAUCGAAGGAAGGGUUUGCGACCUCGAUGUUGGACUAAGGUAACCUCAAGGUGUAGCAGCUUUGAAUAGGUGGGACUGUUCGUCCCUGAAAUCCUUA
rnacentral:rRNA from 1 species